ACCUGCGGAGGGAUCAUUACCGAGUUUACAACUCCCAAACCCCUGUGAACAUACCACUUGUUGCCUCGGCGGAUCAGCCCGCUCCCGGUAAAACGGGACGGCCCGCCAGAGGACCCCUAAACUCUGUUUCUAUAUGUAACUUCUGAGUAAAACCAUAAAUAAAUCAAAACUUUCAACAACGGAUCUCUUGGUUCUGGCAUCGAUGAAGAACGCAGCAAAAUGCGAUAAGUAAUGUGAAUUGCAGAAUUCAGUGAAUCAUCGAAUCUUUGAACGCACAUUGCGCCCGCCAGUAUUCUGGCGGGCAUGCCUGUUCGAGCGUCAUUUCAACCCUCAAGCACAGCUUGGUGUUGGGACUCGCGUUAAUUCGCGUUCCUCAAAUUGAUUGGCGGUCACGUCGAGCUUCCAUAGCGUAGUAGUAAAACCCUCGUUACUGGUAAUCGUCGCGGCCACGCCGUUAAACCCCAACUUCUGAAUGUGACCUCGGAUCAGGUAGAANGCCCCNAU
rnacentral:rRNA from 1 species